AGAUUGAACGCUGGCGGCAUGCUUUACACAUGCAAGUCGAACGGUAACAGGCCGCAAGGUGCUGACGAGUGGCGAACGGGUGAGUAAUGCAUCGGAACGUGCCCAGUCGUGGGGGAUAACGCAGCGAAAGCUGUGCUAAUACCGCAUACGAUCUAUGGAUGAAAGCGGGGGACCAAAGGCCUCGCGCGAUUGGAGCGGCCGAUGUCAGAUUAGCUAGGUUGGUGGGGUAAAGGCCCACCAAGGCGACGAUCUGUAGCUGGUCUGAGAGGACGACCAGCCACACUGGAACUGAGACACGGUCCAGACUCCGUACGGGAGGCAGCGAGGUGGGGAAUUUUGGACAAGUGGGCGACAAGCCUGAUCCAGCGAACUGGCCGACGUGACAGGAAGG
rnacentral:rRNA from 1 species